rnacentral:misc_RNA from 1 species
AGCAGCCGCGGUAAUUCCAGCUCCAAUAGCGUAUAUUAAAGUUGUUGCAGUUAAAAAGCUCGUAGUUGAAUUUCGGGAUCAAUAUAUCGGUCGUACCUUGGUACGUACUGGUAUCAUUGGUUUCUCCUUUCUGACGAACCAUGAUGUCAUUAAUUUGGUGUUAUGGGAAGUUAGGACUGUUACUUUGAAAAAAUUAGAGUGUUUAAAGCAAGCUCACGCUUGAAUACAUUAGCAUGGAAUAAUGAAAUAGGACGUUUGAUUCUAUUUUGUUGGUUUCUAGGAUCGACGUAAUGAUUAAUAGGGAUAGUUGGGGGCAUUAGUAUUCAAUUGUCAGAGGUGAAAUUCUUGGAUUUAUUGAAGACUAACUACUGCGAAAGCAUUUGCCAAGGAUGUUUUCAUUAAUCAAGAACGAAAGUUAGGGGAUCGAAGACGAUCAGAUACCGUCGUAGUCUUAACCAUAAACUAUGCCGACUAGGGAUCGGAUGAUGUUAAUUUUUUAAUGACUCAUUCGGCGCCUUAC